GGGGGCGCAUUGGUUUCGACGGGGAUGCUGGAAGCCAUGGUUGCAGGUCGAGGCGCCGCUGGCCUCGUAAAAAGCGGCAACAAAGUAAUUGCCAACAACGAUUACGAAUACGCCUACGCUGCGUAAGCGGCGGGGCACCCUGACGGCUUAGACCGUCACGCCGAAGCGGCCGACGCCCGAUACGUCGCCGAGGCGCCAAUCCAUCGGGCUGGCGUACGUCUGUUCCUUCCGGGGCGUGCGUGAGACUCUACGGCGGGAUAACCGACGGAUGCCCGUCUGCGGGCGAGUCCUGAGGCGAAAAGCCAUACGCAGACUAUACCUGUAGAGGCCUUGCGUGGACCUUUCUCGGACGGGAGUUCGACUCUCCCCGCCUCCACCA
rnacentral:tmRNA from 2 species